AAAAAAAGUUAGGAUAGGAUUUUCAAGUUACAAAUAAAUAUAGUAAUAGUAUAAGUUUAGCAAAAUCAAUGUAAAUUAGGUAAAAAUAGUAUCACAUAUCUUUUUCAGGCUUUGAGGUAGUCUUGUUCGAGGUUCGUAUUUCAGCCCGUUAUAGAUUGAAAUAUCUACAAAAAAAUCAGUUGAAUUGUUAGACUAUUUUGUUACAAUAUAAACUCUAAAAUUCAAAUGAAAUAAAUUAUCACAUAUCUAGAUAUACCUGAUUGUUGUUCUACCACCAAAACGAACGACAGGCUUCCACGGGUGGUGGAUCGGGGUCCUCGAUCCGAUACAUAUCAAUAUGAUACGUUUGUU
rnacentral:lncRNA from 1 species